CCGUCACUCGCCACAGUUCUCAAGCAAGAGCAAAGGCAGCGAGGGGUGGUGUGAUGUCAUUUGCAACAAGACGGCUGAUACUUAUAUGAGCCUAAAAUAAAGGACAAUAAUGGCAUCAGCCAUUCAAGUUAUGAUCCUGGCAGAUCUACUACUAUCUGAAAAGUAGUCUCUGCAGAUUGUUUCAAGAUACACAAGAUGGAGCGUGGGGAGACAGGACAUGGACCACAGUUUUUCAGCACCCACACCCCACACUCAAAUUCAUAUAGAAGUUCUCAAUUAUUAAAUGUUAAUUUCAUAGUUUAUAUUUAGCUGUGAAGUUAUAG